AGGAGUGAGACUCUAUCUCAAAACAAACAAACAACAAAAGUAUUUAUUGAAUGAAUGAAUGGAGUUGGUAUAAAUAAUGGACAGCUAACUAUAAAAGAUUCAAAUAAUAAGUAUAUUUUACUUCAGCAUAAAAUGUCAGCAUUUUCUUAAGCUGUAAUCUCAGUGUUCAUUUUAUUUUAAUAAACAAUUCAUAUCCUAUUCUCACAGCUGUCUUACGCAGUGUCCUCCAUUAAUGCCAGAGUGAUUUGAGACAGUACUUGAUUCUGGGUGUGAGAACCAGUCAUUGCUUCAUUCUGAAAAUAACUAACAGAUUCUAAUUAGAAGACUAGAUUCUCUGCAACUCCUAAUACUUUCUGUAAUUCCUCUGAUAUAUAUUUAAAAUGUUUCAACUAUGAGAGGCUGACAAGACAUUCACUUAAAGUGGUGAAAUACAUAAACCUUUAAAAUGACUAGACUGAGCCUUGAAGUGAAAUCUAUUUUCUGCCCUAAGUGUUUCCAUUGUGUACAAUUCCCUCGGAAUGGUAGGCAGCUGCCAUUUAGAACUCUGUGAUGAAUAAAGAAAAAUCUAUAUGGAAACAGAAAUACUAUAGAAAUAUUAUACUCUCCAGGCAAAGAAAAGUGGGUGAUUGAGGCAAAUGCACCGAUAAUUUGGGGUCAGGGAGAACACUUGUCUGAAUUACACAGAAAAUGUUUUCAUAACCUUCAACUUUUUAAUCACAGAAACAUGCACUAAUAUGCAAAACAAGUGUGACAGAAUCAUGGGAUAAAAGUAUUUACUUGAAAGGUCUAAAAUAUCAUCAAAGUCUACCAUCUACCCAAUAUUUUAAUUCAUAUCAUACAAUUCCUAUCAGGAGGUUACCUAAUGAUGAGGACGUCACUGCCUCUUACGGAGCAUAUUUCAUCUUUGGGCAGCUCUGAUUAUUCUUUAAAUCUUUCACUGAACACCAGAUGGCCAUCUGAAGUGCUGUGAUACCAUACUUUAAAAAAAAUUGUUCAAGGACACAAAGUUGAUUUGAGAGAAGUUAAUGAAAUUACUACUCUCAGAGCUUCUGCUGAAAAGCACAUUUUCAUUUCUGGCCAAUCUACAGCUUUCUAAAGGGAGUCACUUGAGAAAAUGUCUUAAGGCAAAAAAAAAAAAAAAAAAAAAAAAUCCCAUGGGAGGAAUAAAUGUAUGUGUCUUCUAUAAAAAAAGUUUCCAUCGUUGUUACUUUGUGGUCACCUUGACAAGAACAGUAACCACAAGCAUUCAUUUCAUUCUUUACAUAAUUUUAUUAACUUCAGGCAUGAUGUAUAUAAGCUGCAACUAUCUAUUUAAGCAGAUCUCCAAAAAUAAAAAAUAACACAUAUACCCUUUCACCCAGAAAUUCCACUUCCUGGGAUUCAUUCUUUCUAUUUAAAUAAACCUGACCUUGAGUUAACUCUCUAGUUCUGUUCCCCUGGAAACCUAAUAAAGGUGAAUGUCGACUGUGUUACCAGGUAACAGUACCUAAGAAAAAAAGACCUCCUGAUAUGCCUCUAAACUUGGGACGACUGCAAAUCAACAUGAAUACCUGUUGAAUGUUAGAACAGAAGGUCUGACCAUGGACUCAAGAGCUGACGUUAGGAAUGUCAGCACCAUCCUGCUCUCCAAGGACUCCUCAUCUUCAACAGACUCCUCAUCUUCAAAGGAAAGGGUGGAAACUGCAACUUGUGCCAUGAUCCCUGCGUGAGAAAAGUAGUAAGAAAUCCUACCCGACCAUAGAAUGUUAGAACAGAAGGUCUCACCGUGGACUCAAGAGCUGACAUGAAGAAUGUCACCACCAUCCUGCUCUCCAAGGACUCCUCAUCUUCAAUGGACUCCUCAUCUUCAACGGACUCCUCAUCUACAACGGGCAGGGUGGAAACUGCAACUUGUGCCAUGAUCCCUGCGCAAGAAAAGUAGUAAGAAAUUGAGUGGUAGAAAUCCAGUGUCCUAAACUCACAUCCAGAGCUGUGAGAGUUUUUCACAGGCUGGCUAAUUCAGAGUUUUCUUGCAUCAGAGGAAAAGUAAGACUCGGAAACUUGGUAUUCGAUUUGCCCAAAACUCUCAUUAGAUAGAGAAUCCAUCCGCUAACUUUCUAUCUAGUAUUAUUUCCAUAAAGUUAGAUCAAUAUCACUCCCAAAAUAAAUCCACGUGGCAACCAGAAUCAGUGCAUUUCUCCCAAGUACAAGAGGAGGUGGCCGAGCGUGGUGGUUCACGCCUGUAAUCCCAGCACUUUUGGAGGCCGAGGAGGGUGC
rnacentral:lncRNA from 1 species